GUGAACGCUGGCGGUAGUCCUAACACAUGCAAGUCGAACGGCAGCACCGUAAGCGCUUGCUCUUAUGGGUGGCGAGUGGCGGACGGGUUAGGAAUACAUCGGAAUCUACUUUUUCGUGGGGGAUAACGUAGGGAAACUUACGCUAAUACCGCAUACGACUUACGGGUGAAAGCAGGGGAUCUUCGGACCUUGUGCGAUUGUAUGAGCCGAUGUCGGAUUAGCUAGUUGGCGGGGUAAAGGCCCACCAAGGCCACGAUCCGUAGCUGGUCUGAGAGGAUGAUCGGCCACACUGGAACUGAGACACGGUCCAGACUCCUACGGGAGGAAGCAGUGGGGAAUAUUGGACAAUGGGCGCAAGCCUGAUCCAGCCAUACCGCGUGGGUGAAGAAGGCCUUCGGGUGGUAAAGCCCUUUUGUUGGGAAAGAAAAGCAGCAGGUUAAUAACCCGCUGUUCUGACGGUACCCAAAGAAUAAGCACCGGCUAACUUCGUG
rnacentral:rRNA from 1 species